AGAAACCAUGCCCAAGGCAUAUGCACCAGCUCCAGCUGCUCCUCCGAGCAUCGUUGUGGUCACAAGGAGAUAAUUCAAAGGAGGUGGGACCUGAAUGUAGCGCCCAAAUGAAUGGAAAACAACUCGGACUUCCAAGGAAAUUAUGACCACGAUCAAAGCCACGGCGCCAUUGACAACGCGAAUGCUAUGAAGCUGGCGCGGACUCUUAGUGACCCACCGAAGUGCGUCCUUGGUGGAGGCAUAGAGUAGGAGCAAGAAAGGAAUGAAGAAGAGCAGAAGCAAAUCACAGAAGGAAGUAACAGAUGAAAACAUGACAGAGUAAUGGGAGGCAGCAUGAAACAAGAGAGGGAAGAAU
rnacentral:lncRNA from 1 species